UACCAGCACCCCGAGUGGUCGGGACGUUUAUUGGGCCUAAAGCAUCCGUAGCCGGUUCUACAAGUCUUCCGUUAAAUCCACCUGCUUAACAGAUGGGCUGCGGAAGAUACUAUAGAGCUAGGAGGCGGGAGAGGCAAACGGUACUCAGUGGGUAGGGGUAAAAUCCAUUGAUCUACUGAAGACCACCAGUGGCGAAGGCGGUUUGCCAGAACGCGCUCGACGGUGAGGGAUGAAAGCUGGGGGAGCAAACCGG
rnacentral:rRNA from 1 species